AGUGAACGCUGGCGGUAGGCCUAACACAUGCAAGUCGAACGGCAGCACAGUAAGAGCUUGCUCUUACGGGUGGCGAGUGGCGGACGGGUGAGGAAUACAUCGGAAUCUACUUUUUCGUGGGGGAUAACGUAGGGAAACUUACGCUAAUACCGCAUACGACCCACGGGUGAAAGCAGGGGAUCUUCGGACCUUGCGCGAUUGAAUGAGCCGAUGUCGGAUUAGCUAGUUGGCGGGGUAAAGGCCCACCAAGGCAACGAUCCGUAGCUGGUCUGAGAGGAUGAUCAGCCACACUGGAACUGAGACACGGUCCAGACUCCUACGGGAGGCAGCAGUGGGGAAUAUUGGACAAUGGGCGCAAGCCUGAUCCAGCCAUACCGCGUGGGUGAAGAAGGCCUUCGGGUUGUAAAGCCCUUUUGUUGGGAAAGAAAAGCAGCAGGUUAAUACCCCGCUGUUCUGACGGUACCCAAAGAAUAAGCACCGGCUAACUUCGUG
rnacentral:rRNA from 1 species